CUACGUGCCAGCAGCCGCGGUAAUACGUAGGUCCCGAGCGUUGUCCGGAUUUAUUGGGCGUAAAGCGAGCGCGGGCGGUUUGAUAAGUCUGAAGUUAAAGGCUGUGGCUCAACCAUAGUUCGCUUUGGAAACUGUCAAACUUGAGUGCAGAAGGGGAGAGUGGAAUUCCAUGUGUAGCGGUGAAAUGCGUAGAUAUAUGGAGGAACACCGGUGGCGAAAGCGGCUCUCUGGUCUGUAACUGACGCUGAGGCUCGAAAGCGUGGGGAGCGAACAGGAUUAGAUACCCUGGUAGUCCACGCCGUAAACGAUGAGUGCUAGGUGUUGGAUCCUUUCCGGGAUUCAGUGCCGCAGCUAACGCAUUAAGCACUCCGCCUGGGGAGUACGACCGCAAGGUUGAAACUCAAAGGAAUUGACGGGGGCCCGCACAAGCGGUGGAGCAUGUGGUUUAAUUCGAAGCAACGCGAAGAACCUUACCAGGUCUUGACAUCCCGAUGCUAUUUCUAGAGAUAGAAAGUU
rnacentral:rRNA from 1 species